rnacentral:rRNA from 1 species
AACGAACGCUGGCGGCAGGCCUAACACAUGCAAGUCGAGCGCACCUUCGGGUGAGCGGCGGACGGGUUAGUAACGCGUGGGAAUAUGCCCUUCUCUACGGAAUAGCCAUUGGAAACGAUGAGUAAUACCGUAUACGCCCUUCGGGGGAAAGAUUUAUCGGAGAAGGAUUAGCCCGCGUUAGAUUAGAUAGUUGGUGGGGUAAGUGGCCUACCAAGUCUACGAUCUAUAGCUUGGUUUUAGAGGAUGAUCAGCAACACUGGGACUGAGACACGGCCCAGACUCCUACGGGAGGCAGCAGGUAGGGGAAUCGUUAGACAAGUGGGGACAACCCUGAUCUAGCCAUGCCGCGUGAGUGACGAAAGGCCCCUAGGGGUCGUAAAAGCUCUUUCGCCAGGGGAUGAUAAUGACAGUACCUGGUAAAGAAACCCCGGCUAACUCCGUGCCAGCCGCCGCGGUAA